rnacentral:rRNA from 1 species
AAAAAGCCAGUUCAUGCUUUUACAGUAUGAAAAUUGGUGAUUUAUAAUAACUUAGCAAAUCGCAAAGUGAAAACAGGCGAUAAAUCAUUCAAGUUUCUGACCUAUCAGCUUUCGACGGUAUGGUAUUGGCUUACCGUGGCAGUGACGGUUAACGGGGGAUUAGGGUUCGAUUCCGGAGAGGGAGCCUGAGAAACGGCUACCACAUCUAAGGAAGGCAGCAGGCGCGCAAAUUACCCAAUUCUAACAGUUUGAGAGAGGUAGUAACAAGAAAUAACAAUACAAGGCAGUUAAAAUGCUUUGUAAUUGGAAUGAUAGAAAUUUAAACCCUUUUUAAAGUAUCAAUUGGAGGGCAAGUCUGGUGCCAGCAGCCGCGGUAAUUCCAGCUCCAAUAGCGUAUAUUAAAAUUGUUGCAGUUAAAAAGCUCGUAGUUGAAGUUCUGCUGAAAGUAACCGGUCUGCUUUUAAUAAAAGUGGUAUCUUGGUAUGUAUUUAGCAAUGAUGUCCUUUGAAGUGUUUUUUACUUUAUUGUAAUAAAGCAUAUUCAGGACUUUUACUUUGAGAAAAUUAGAGUGUUUCUAGCAGGCUAACGCUUUGAAUACUGCAGCAUGGAAUAAUAAA